GUUGCAAAGCAGCCGCUCGGUGGCCGUACAACGCUUCAUCUCUCCGAGCCUCGGUUUCCUCAUCUCCAGCCCUAAAAUGACGACACGCCCCACAGGUCUUGGGAGGAUUAAGUGAGGGGACAUGAGCCUGGAAGCUCCGACCCCAGGAGCCAGCCCAUCAACCUGAACCAUUACGCCACCAAGAAGAGCGUGGCGGAGAGCAUGCUGGACGUGGCCCUGUUCAUGUCCAACGCCAUGCGGCUGAAGGCGGUGCUGGAGCAGGGACCAUCCUCUCACUACUACACCACCCUGGUCACCCUCAUCAGCCUCUCUCUGCUCCUGCAGGUGGUCAUCGGUGUCCUGCUCGUGGUCAUUGGUGAGGAGCCCAGCCUGCAGUCAGACCUUCUGCCUCGGCACCCGUGGCUGGCAGAAAGGCCCCACGUGUCCCCUGGGCCACCCUGCAUUGGCACAGGCAGCUUUGCAACCACACGCUGACCUGCAGUGAGCCCUCCGCUAACAGAGGCCCAAAGACCAACUUCCACCCCGCGAGGGCAGGCGCCCUGUCCUGUCUCCUGGUAUCCCAUGGAGCAGACCCUCCGCAGUACCUGCUGAAUGACUGCGCCAGCACCUCGCUAACUGCUAACUCACUCACUCGCUCACCGCUUCUCCAUGAGCACUCGUCCCCACGCUUACAGGACCCAGCUUAAGUUCCCAAAUCCUGCACGGCUGAACCUGAAUGAGGUAGAAAAGCAGUGGCGACUCAACCAGCUCAACAACGCAGCCACCAUCUUGGUCUUCUUCACUGUGGUCAUCAAUGUUUUCAUUACAGCCUUCGGGGCACAUAAAACAGGGUUCCUGGCUGCCAGGGCCUCAAGGAAUCCUCUCUGAAUGCAGCCUGGGACCCAGGUUCUGGGCCUGGAACUUCUGCCUCCUUCCUCCGUGAUCUGCCAGGCUCGUGGGCACUUUCCACAGCCCAGGAGAGCUUCUGAAAGGACAGUAUAGCUGCCCUUGCUCCCUACCCACAGCACCUGAGUUAAAAAGUGAUUUUUAUGUUAUUGGUCUAAGGGACUUCCAUCUUGGUCUGAAGUCCUGAGCUCAGACGCAGGUACUGCCAGCCAUACCUUCCUGGUAGCAUCUGCUGGACCUAAGUAAGGCAUGUCUGUCUAAGGCCAAGUCUGCCCGGCUUAAGGAUGCUGGUUCUGACUCUACCCCACUGCUUCCUUCUGCUCCAGGCCUCAAUUUUCCCUUCUUGUAAAAUGGAAUCUAUAUCUAUAAAGGUUUCUUCAAAUCCA